rnacentral:misc_RNA from 1 species
AUGCUGAAGGCUCACUGAGCCAGUCACGACAAGAGGAUGGAUGUGCUUCAGGAGGUGAAUCCCGCGCUGUCUCUCUCUAGCGAAGAAACGGGAAUCGGCACCAGCGUGGUACGCUUUGUGGAGUACGCUACGAGAGCUUGCUUUCAAGUACAGAAUCUUCCCGAGCUCGGGCUUGAGUCAUCGCAGUGCUUGCUUCGUGUGUGCAGCGCGGUGACGGACGCUGGACACGAAUGCAGCGUUGACGGGUCGAGAUUUCGCGACUUGUUCUCCAGCGUGAGUGCUCCUUCCGGUCCCUGUCUCACGAUGAGCAACAUCGGGUCCCAGAAAAAUCCGCUCUCGAAUGAAGCAGCGUGGACGUGUGUGAGUCUGUGUAUCUGUGUGUCAGUAUGUGUCUGUGUCUGUAUGUGUGUCUCUGUGUGUGUGUGUGUGUGUGUUUGAGCGCGCACAGCAGUCAGCAUGCUCGCCGAGUGUAUCGCCUAGCGGAAGACCGUGUUCAUCGCGUACGGCACUGGGCACGGAAAUGGGGUCGUCCCCUGAGGUGAGCGUCCAGUGCAUGUGGCAGGCAGCACUCGGGGAAGCAGGUGCCCAGGACGUACGGGCAUACCCGACCAUGGUCACGUGUCAGUACUGUGAAGGGCGCAACGAGGAUCUACACGAAGCAAGUCGUGCAAACGGCAACCGAGGCGUAGAACGCAACUACUGUCUUUGCGCGAAUUCUGUCUGAAACAGCCGGAAGCGAUGAAUUCGGGACUUGAACACCGGCGACAGCAUUCUGAGACUGCUGACAACGCAGCUGGAGGAACAGGGGAAACCGGCGUAUGGCGAGCCAGAGAAUAUACAGAGAGAGAGAGAAGGGAAACAGUCGCAGAAACAUCCCGUAAAGGCCGACGUCCAUGGCGAUGGAAUGAGACGAAAACUUUGGGGUGUACGCUCCUGCUAGGUAAGUAGACCUGUUCCAUUUUAUGCUGACAUGGGUAUUGUGCACCCCGCGAUUCCAACCGCACCGGCUUGCGAGUAUCUUUCAACGUGCACACGGCUUGCAUACCCCGACAAAACGGAGUCGUUCUUCCACUGUUCAUCAUCCUGACAAAUACUGGUGCCGACGAUUGCAGACAAAGUCGAGAGACUGCGUCCUGCAUGCGAUUCGCCUCGGUUGGCCGCAUCACGCUUUUCAUGUCCAAUUCCAGAGCGAAACAAUCGAAACAGAAGCGAUCGAUAGAGCAGUGACAUUCCGGUGGUUCGCUGCAUCGUGCCAUAGAUGCGGAGUGUUCAUGACACUUCCGGAAAAGCUGCGCUAAUUUUCUGCGACGGACCGGCCAACGUGCCUCCAAGUCGCAUCACUUCAGUGCGGUCGCAGUACAACACCGCAAAGCUUCAUCAGAGAAACAGAUUUAUGCACAGCAAAAGACGAGUUAGCUUUCGGCGAGCGAGGCACCAAUACGUCGGGAUCGAAGCUACACAAUUCCUUGAAACGUUCCUGCGACCACAGAAGCCCUCAUGAACAAUCGCGUCUGUAUCCGCAAGACCAGAAAGCGUCCAAACACACCCCUUUCACAACAGCAGGCACCUCUUCCAAAAGCGAGAAUGUGUCAAAGCAAGUCGUCGGAUGCUCAGGGCCGGAGCCGAUCACGCCCAAGGCUUGGUUGCUGCUCCAUUACCUGCCAAUGAGUGCGCUCCGGAAACCGUUUCGCAAUCAUCAUGGCGAGGUCUUGCUCUCUGCGCGCUCUGCGUAUGAGCGUGAUGCAAUCACCGCCCCUACGUAGACGUCCUGCUCGGUGCAGAAAAUGAUGGUAUGUUGCUGGUGCGUCAAAGCUGAGCACUCGCCCGACAAAGGGCCAAUCGAUUCCCCGUGCCAUCAAAUCCGAACAAAUCAGCACAUCAGCGGUGCCGUUGGCGAAUUGCUCUACUGCCGCGUCUCGCAUACGUGUAGGCAUCCCGCCGUGGCACGCGAGGGCAAGGACGCCCUGCUCACGAAGCGUGUGCUGCACGAAACGACAGGUCUGGAUGGAAUUACAGAACACGAGGGUACUUUUGCCGUCUCGGAGUAGACCACGAGCGUCGGCUUGCAGCCAUUCGAGCAAACGCGUCACCUUCUGCGGCGGAUGCUGAACUAGUUCGAAACGAAUACGCACAAUUCGUGGCGGUUCGUGGAGCCCAUUAUCUCGAGCAAUGAAGAGUUUUCGGGAUGGCGUCAGCGCUCGGGCCAGCGCUUCGACCUGGGCGAGUGAGCCGCGAGUCAUCGUGGCGGCAACGCACCACAGCUGUCCGCCUUGGAGUCGAUGCAACGGAAGCGGUGCAAGCUGGUUGCGCUGCUGCAUAGCAAACAGGCUGUCUGCCUCGUCUAGAACAAGGUAGCGCAGAUGGCGCAAGCGAGUCCAGAGCGCCGGUUCUCCCUUUCCAGCAGUAUCCCUAGCGGGCGACACCCAUGCGGCAACUUCAUUCGAAGUUUGAAACGCUUGUCGCGUCAGCAGCGAGCACGUCAGACCCGUGCAUUCCGUAAAGUCGCUCCAGACACGGCAGACUUGAGCAGCCAACUCGCGAGUCGGAACGACGAUCAGUGCCUGAGGCGACGGCGACGCUGGGCUGGUCGUUCGUGCCUCACGAGCACGGUCUCGCCGUAG